GCUCAGGACGAACGCUGGCGGCGUGCUUAACACAUGCAAGUCGAACGGUAAGGCCCCUUCGGGGGUACACGAGUGGCGAACGGGUGAGUAACACGUGGGUAAUCUGCCCUGCACUUCGGGAUAAGCCUGGGAAACUGGGUCUAAUACCGGAUAUGAACUCCUGCCGCAUGGUGGGGGUUGGAAAGUUUUUCGGUGCAGGAUGAGCCCGCGGCCUAUCAGCUUGUUGGUGGGGUAAUGGCCUACCAAGGCGACGACGGGUAGCCGGCCUGAGAGGGUGAUCGGCCACACUGGGACUGAGACACGGCCCAGACUCCUACGGGAGGCAGCAGUGGGGAAUAUUGCACAAUGGGCGAAAGCCUGAUGCAGCGACGCCGCGUGGGGGAUGACGGUCUUCGGAUUGUAAACCCCUUUCAGUAGGGACGAAGCGCAAGUGACGGUACCUGCAGAAGAAGCACCGGCUAACUACGUGCCAGCAGCCGCGGUAAUACGUAGGGUGCGAGCGUUGUCCGGAAUUACUGGGCGUAAAGAGCUCGUAGGCGGUUUGUCACGUCGUCUGUGAAAUCCCUCGGCUUAACCGGGGGCGUGCAGGCGAUACGGGCAGACUUGAGUACUACAGGGGAGACUGGAAUUCCUGGUGUAGCGGUGAAAUGCGCAGAUAUCAGGAGGAACACCGGUGGCGAAGGCGGGUCUCUGGGUAGUAACUGACGCUGAGGAGCGAAAAG
rnacentral:rRNA from 1 species